rnacentral:rRNA from 1 species
UACGUAGGGGGCGGGCGUUGUCCGGAUUUACUGGGCGUAAAGGGUGCGUAGGUGGUUUCUUAAGUCAGAGGUGAAAGGCUACGGCUCAACCGUAGUAAGCCUUUGAAACUGGGAAACUUGAGUGCAGGAGAGGAGAGUGGAAUUCCUAGUGUAGCGGUGAAAUGCGUAGAUAUUAGGAGGAACACCAGUUGCGAAGGCGGCUCUCUGGACUGUAACUGACACUGAGGCACGAAAGCGUGGGGAGCAAACAGGAUUAGAUACCCUGGUAGUCCCUGAGCGGG